GAUGAACGCUGGCGGCGUGCCUAAUACAUGCAAGUCGAGCGGUAAGGCUCUGCACAGGUUACUUGUACGAGAGUUAAGUCUCUUAAGUUACUUCUAGGCUAGAAGUAAUCAAAGUCGAGUGAUGUGUGUAGAGUACACGAGCGGCGGACGGCUGAGUAACGCGUAGGAACAUACCCAAAGUGAGGGAUAAGCACCAGAAAUGGUGUCUAAUACCGCAUGUGGUCUUCGGAUUAAAGCUUUAUGCGCUUUGGGAAUGGCCUGCGUUCGAUUAGCUUGUUGGUGAGGUAAUGGCUCACCAAGGCUUUGAUCGAUAGCUGGUCUGAGAGGAUGAUCAGCCAGACUGGAACUGAGACACGGUCCAGACUCCUACGGGAGGCAGCAGUAGGGAAUUUUCCACAAUGGGCGAAAGCCUGAUGGAGCAACGCCGCGUGCAGGAUGAAGGCUUUCGGGUCGUAAACUGCUUUAUAGGUGAAGAUUAUGACGGUAACCUA
rnacentral:rRNA from 1 species